AUUGAACGCUGGCGGAAUGCUUUACACAUGCAAGUCGAACGGCAGCACGGGGGCAACCCUGGUGGCGAGUGGCGAACGGGUGAGUAAUAUAUCGGAACAUGUCCGGAAGUGGGGGAUAACGUACCGAAAGGUACGCUAAUACCGCAUAUGCCCCGAUGGGGAAAGGAGGGGAUCGCAAGACCUUUCGAUUUCGGAGGGGCCGAUAUCGGAUUAGCUAGUUGGUGGGGUAAAGGCCCACCAAGGCGACGAUCCGUAGCUGGUCUGAGAUGACGACCAGCCACACUGGAACUGAGACACGGUCCAGACUCCUACGGGAGGCAGCAGUGGGGAAUUUUGGACAAUGGGGGCAACCCUGAUCCAGCCAUUCCGCGUGAGUGAAGAAGGCCUUCGGGUUGUAAAGCUCUUUCGGACGGGAAGAAACGGUCACGGCCAAUACCCGUGACUAAUGACGGUACCGUAAGAAGAAGCACCGGCUAACUACGUGCCAGCCGCCGCGGUAACAC
rnacentral:rRNA from 1 species